ACGAUCGUUGUUACUUCAAAUUUCUGCCGCCAUGUCGUCGCUGCAAUCUCGUUUCAAGUGCCCCGCCAAAAAGCCACCAAAACUUAAUAAUAUUAAAAGAAUCUGCAAAUGACGCGCAAAUGUUUCAACACUCUCGGCAUCAGCUCCUCCGUCCCGUUGUGAAAACCGCCGCAAUGCAAAAGCAAGAAAAAUGUAAUAAUAAUAAAAAACGAAAUUAUUGCACUUCACAUUCACAGUCAUCGGACAGUGCCAUCUUUUGCCGGCGGCCAUCCCGUCCUCUCCUGCACAUCACAUUGCGCAAUGGUUGCCUCCAUCGUGGAAGAGGCCAAGAAGACCAGACCCGCCGAUCGAGAACUCAGGAUUGAGGAUCGAGGAUCGACAGUCGGCUGGUCCGCCACUCGUUCUAACAAGAAGGUGAUAUAAGUGGUUCGAUUGCCGGGGCCAUUGCACACUGCUUUCGAUUAACGAUUUCUUUGGAAUUAAUACAAGACAACUUGGAAU
ensembl:ncRNA lncRNA:CR44627 long non-coding RNA:CR44627